rnacentral:rRNA from 1 species
AGGGUGUAAACGCUGCAGACUUGGUGUUGGGGGCCCUUUGGGGGCAUUCAGUGCCGGAGAGAAGUUGUUAAGUCUGCUACUUGGGGAGUACGUCCGCAAGGAUGAAACUUAAAGGAAUUGGCGGGGGAGCACCGCAACGGGAGGAGCGUGCGGUUUAAUUGGAUUCAACACCGUAAACUCACCAGGGAAGACUGUUACAUGAAGGCCGAGAUGAAGACUCUGCUAGAUUUUCUAGAGAGGAGGUGCAUGGCGUCAGUGACU